CUGACAAUGUGCUAUUUGGCCUCUUCCAUUUAUCAACCAUCCUAUGGGCCUGUAGCAUAACACAACUCUGGACAGGUCUGGAAAAUAUGGCCAAAAGACAGUGGGUUUAAUCGUAUAAGCCUGUCUGCUGAGAUAACAUAAAUGAACAAAAAAAUACUUUAUAGUGUGUGAAAAUGCCAAAAUAUGUCUAGUUUACAAAGUAUUGUAAUGAG